GCCUAAAUACUGUACCUUAGUGACCCCUAUCCCAUCAGAUUUUGAAAACUAAAUUGGGUCAGCCCUGGUUAGUACUUGGAUGGGAAACUGCCAAUGUAUACCAGGUGCUGUAGGCU
rnacentral:rRNA from 1 species